rnacentral:rRNA from 1 species
UACGGAGGGGGCUAGCGUUGUUCGGAAUUACUGGGCGUAAAGCGCACGUAGGCGGCUUUGUAAGUUAGAGGUGAAAGCCCGGGGCUCAACCCCGGGUCGGCCGUGGCAACUACUGGGCUGGAGCACUGUAGGGGCGGGUGGAAUUCCGGGUGUAGCGGUGGAAUGCGUAGAGAUCCGGAAGAACACCGGUGGCGAAGGCGGCCCGCUGGGCAGUUGCUGACACUGAGGCGCGACAGCGUGGGGAGCAAACAGG